CUGGCGGCGUGCCUAAUACAUGCAAGUCGAACGCUUCUUUUCCCACCGGAGCUUGCUCCACCGGGAAAAGAGGAGUGGCGAACGGGUGAGUAACACGUGGGUAACCUGCCCAUCAGAAGGGGAUAACACUUGGAAACAGGUGCUAAUACCGUAUAACAAUCGAAACCGCAUGGUUUCGUUUUGAAAGGCGCUUUACGGUGCCGCUGAUGGAUGGACCCGCGGUGCAUUAGCUAGUUGGUGAGGUAACGGCUCACCAAGGCCACGAUGCAUAGCCGACCUGAGAGGGUGAUCGGCCACAUUGGGACUGAGACACGGCCCAAACUCAUACGGGAGGCAGCAGUAGGGAAUCUUCGGCAAUGGACGAAAGUCUGACCGAGCAACGCCGCGUGAGUGAAGAAGGUUUUCGGAUCGUAAAACUCUGUUGUUAGAGAAGAACAAGGGUGAGAGUAACUGUUCACCCCUUGACGGUAUCUAACCAGAAAGCCACGGCUAACUACGUGCCAGCAGCCGCGGUAAUACGUAGGUGGCAAGCGUUGUCCGGAUUUAUUGGGCGUAAAGCGAGCGCAGGCGGUUUCUUAAGUCUGAUGUGAAAGCCCCCGGCUCAACCGGGGAGGGUCAUUGGAAACUGGGAGACUUGAGUGCAGAAGAGGAGAGUGGAAUUCCAUGUGUAGCGGUGAAAUGCGUAGAUAUAUGGAGGAACACCAGUGGCGAAGGCGGCUCUCUGGUCUGUAACUGACGCUGAGGCUCGAAAGCGUGGGGAGCAAACAGGAUUAGAUACCCUGGUAGUCCACGCCGUAAACGAUGAGUGCUAAGUGUUGGAGGGUUUCCGCCCUUCAGUGCUGCAGCUAACGCAUUAAGCACUCCGCCUGGGGAGUACGACCGCAAGGUUGAAACUCAAAGGAAUUGACGGGGGCCCGCACAAGCGGUGGAGCAUGUGGUUUAAUUCGAAGCAACGCGAAGAACCUUACCAGGUCUUGACAUCCUUUGACCACUCUAGAGAUAGAGCUUCCCCUUCGGGGGCAAAGUGACAGGUGGUGCAUGGUUGUCGUCAGCUCGUGUCGUGAGAUGUUGGGUUAAGUCCCGCAACGAGCGCAACCCUUAUUGUUAGUUGCCAUCAUUUAGUUGGGCACUCUAGCAAGACUGCCGGUGACAAACCGGAGGAAGGUGGGGAUGACGUCAAAUCAUCAUGCCCCUUAUGACCUGGGCUACACACGUGCUACAAUGGGAAGUACAACGAGUCGCGAAGUCGCGAGGCUAAGCUAAUCUCUUAAAGCUUCUCUCAGUUCGGAUUGUAGGCUGCAACUCGCCUACAUGAAGCCGGAAUCGCUAGUAAUCGCGGAUCAGCACGCCGCGGUGAAUACGUUCCCGGGCCUUGUACACACCGCCCGUCACACCACGAGAGUUUGUAACACCCGAAGUCGGUGAGGUAACCUUUUUGGAGCCAGCCGCCUAAGGUGGGAUAGAUGAUU
rnacentral:rRNA from 1 species